CCAUUCUGAGCUUCACUACGACCAAGCUUCUUCGUCUUGCUCUGCCAUCAUCAUCGUUGGGCUUCAGAUCCGCCCAAGAGAAAGCUUCGAUCCUCUCCAAUGGUGGAGUUUUACGUAGUUGCAAGAUAGGUACCUCAACUUCUGCUUUUUAUUUCUGAUCUUUGUUUCCAGAGCAGCCCGAGUUUGAAGAUGGUUUUAACGAGAAUGCAGAAGCUUCAAGAUCUAGCAACAACCAUGUUAGAGCUCUGGAAUUUGAUGGAUGCACCCAUAGAAGAGCAGCAAAAGUAUCAGCAUAUUACCUGCAAUAUAGCUGCAUCAGAACAUGAAAUAACUCAAGCCAAUAGUCUCUCUGAAGACUUCAUCAAAUACGUUGAGGCAGAACACAGUCUCUGGCUUAUGAUCAAAGUGGCAGAAGAAAAGACUAUGGGAGGUAUCUUACUUGAAUCCAAAACUCAAUCAAAACCUCAAGUGUUGGAGAGGAAUUCCAUAUCCCUCUACGAGGCCCAUCUAAUAAUCAGACUUGGCUCUUAUCUGCCAUCAAGCCCGACCGAAGUUGGUCAAGCCGACUUAGAAUUCAACUUUGAACAUUACAAUACAAACCCUAUAUCAUAUUCCAAACUCUAUAUAAGAAGUAUUAAAUCAUAACAUUCUAAAUUUAUAACACUUAUUUUAUACUAAAUUAUGAAAUUAUACAAACUAUAAAAUUUAAAUAAAAUCAGUAUAUUCAUAAUAUAACUUCAAUUCUUAAACUCCAAACCACAUACCUCAUAUUGACCUAUAUCAUAAAACAUUAAAUCUAAAUUUUUAAUAUUUUAGUCAAUCACACAAAUUUAAAUUUAAAUACAAAAUACAGAUUAAAGUUUUAAAUUAUGAUUCAAAUUAUUUAAAGUUUAAAUAGUUUUAAAAUAAUUAUAAAUAAAAAAAGAAUAUAAUGUGUACUGUUUUUUCUGAGCCAUUGAUUGAUUUUUAAGUCAAAGGUCCAAAAUCGAUCUCCUAUCUAUCUUCACCUUUGUUUUCUAUUGGUUUGACGCCGAUAACCAUCUGCACCAUUAGAUGAUACUGAAUCAACGCUUGAGAUUUGUCUCUUUUUUUUCAAUGAUUUUCUAAGAAAAGAUAUAGUGUCAGAGAGAGAGAGAGAGAGAGAGAGAGAGAGCAUGGAUUAUAGGUACCCUCCUGAGUCUAUAUCUCUCUGUUCAUCGUCGUUGAUCUCUUUAACGAGGUAUUCUAUUUGUUUCUUACCAGAACUAUACACUCUUUGUUUAGUUCAUCAGUGGUGGAAGGCUUUUUGGCAAAAUUGCGAGUUUAUCAGUGCAGUUCAUUACUGCCAUAGCAGGAGACUCUACCACAAAGACUUAAAGCCGGAAAAACUUGUUUCUUGAUGCUCAAGGAAAUCUGAAAGUCUGGUUUUGGAUUCAGCGCCUUGUCCCAACAAGUCUCUUACCAUCAUAUUUAUUUGCCUGAGUUCCUACUGAGUUGUUUUUGAAAAAAAAUACAGGCCAGAACAGAAGCUUGUGAAGGAUGGUUUCAUCAUCAGGAAACCAACCAAGAUCCACUCUCCUGAAGAAAUACUGAAAGUCAAAGAAGAUUGACAAGUACAUGUACCAUGUAUCGAGCAGACAAGGCGACAGAGAAACUCUGAUAUAUGUAGCAGACGACUCGAUAGAAGUCAACUCCGGUGACUAGGUGAUGCGACGAUAGCACUCUGAAGGCGGAUGCUUAGUUUAGGUUUAGGUUAAUUAUGUUUUGGUUUUAUGUUUUAAUUUUGUUUUUGGUUUAAUGUGUUCUUUAAUUUAUUUGUUUUUAACAACAUGAUGUUCUUUAAUUAUUUGUAUACUGGUUUUAAUUAAUAAAUAAAAUUUAAUUUUUAAAAAUUAA